AAUACCACACAGCUAGGGAGUGGGAGAGGUAGACGGUACUCGGUAGGAAGGGGUAAAAUCCUUUGAUCUAUCGAUGACCACCAGUGGCGAAGGCGGUCUACUAGAACACGUCCGACGGUGAGGGAUGAAAGCUGGGGGAGCAAACCGGAUUAGAUACCCGGGUAGUCCCAGCUGUAAACAAUGCAAACUCAGUGAUGCACUGGCUUGUGGCCAGCGCAGUGCUGCAGGGAAGCCGUUAAGUUUGCCGCCUGGGAAGUACGUACGCAAGUAUGAAACUUAAAGGAAUUGGCGGGGGAGCACCACAAGGGGUGAAGCCUGCGGUUCAAUUGGAGUCAACGCCAGAAAUCUUACCCGGGGCGACAGCAGAAUGAAGGUCAAGCUGAAGACUUUACCAGACAAGCUGAGAGGUGGUGCAUGGCCGUCGCCAGCUCGUGCCGUGAGAUGUCCUGUUAAGUCAGGUAACGAGCGAGAUCCCUGCCUCUAGUUGCCACCAUUACUCUCAGGAGUAGUGGGGCGAAUUAGAGGGACCGCCGUAGUUAAUGCGGAGGAAGGAAGGGGCCGCGGCAGGUCAGUAUGCCCCGAAACCCUGGGGCCACACGCGGGCUGCAAUGGUAGUGACAAUGGGUUCCGAAUCCGAAAGGAGGAGGUAAUCCUCAAACGCUACCACA
rnacentral:rRNA from 1 species